ensembl:lncRNA
UGUGUGUGUGUGUGUGUGUGUGUGCAUGCAUGUGUGUGUCUGCAUUGCUUCUCUCAAUAUCAGCAAAUUUUCAUUCACAGUCACUUUCUUUUUAAGUCUUCCUGAUCAAUCUCUUUAAAGUUUAACUCUUCUUCUUCACUGUUUCUUGAUUUUAUUCAAUAGCAUUUAUCAUCAUUCAAUAUAGCUCUGAUAUUGUAUCAAUAAAUUUAUCUUAUCUAGAAUGUAAUUUUUAUCUGUUUUAAUUACUGCAUUAUCUCAGUUCCCCAAGACACCAUUGAGUACAUAGUCCACACUCCAGAGAGAUUGGUGGAAUAAAUGAAUAUUUGAAAUCACUUGUCAUAGUGAUCAGAUACUUCUGCCUUCCAGAGCCAGUAUUUCUUUGCCCUUGACACUGUAAUAGAAAAGCUGCCAGGUUCUUGAUCUAUGGUACUAUUUUCUUAGACUUCUUGCAGACCACCCAUCUUGCCAAAUUCUCCCUUUUUUGCAGGCAAAGCUACAUAAUAAAGAUGACUCAGCCAGAGCUUGCUUUGUAUUCAGAUAUAUUUUCCUGGCAUUGAAAACUGGUUAUUUGUCUUGGAGUUGGAGGUCCUCAAAUAGACUCAGAUACCAAAGUUGUGUGCUGUAUUUACAUCGGAACAAAGUGAACCUGAAUUGGUAUCACAAAAACUAAGUUUAACCUCAACUGGAAUUGAGGGCACUCUGGAGAACCAUAGGGGAUGUGAAAUACAGAAGAAGGUGUGCCAGGCCACGUUUCCCUUCUGGGUGAAGGUGCCAGGUGACUGAGUAGAUCCAAACUUUACGUACAUUGAAAAAUUUCUUUUUGUUUUGUAAUGCAAUGAAGAUAUUUUGAUAACCAAUGUUUUAAAAAUUUGGUAUUUUAGUGUACAAACAUAUUAAUUGUCACAUAUAAUGACCAGUUGGUUGUCAAAGAGGACUUUGUUGUUAGGAAGAGAAAAUACUGAAUACUAAUCAAUAGCAGACGUAUGCAUUAAACAGCGUUAAUUAAGCCAACAGUCACUGACGUAAAAUGCAUAAAUACUGACCUAGUUAAAUACAGCUUUUCACUAGUGUACUCAACAUUGGCAACUCAACUCACUUUUGGAAAAGCAUUAUAUAUCACAUUAAAUUAAUGAAGUUAAACUAAUGCUUUUUAGGAAAUUUCCCCAUUCUUUGUAUUUACCUAGAGAGAUACACACUGGAAAAACUCCUCUGACAUCUUGCUUUACAGCUUAUGUUGUCUAUGAAGGAGGAGUGAAUUACAUGAUUGGAAGUUGAUAACCUUCGAUCCAAGGUCUUUGGUUAGGUAGAGCUGGUCUGUUGAAACCCUGCAGGGAUUAUGAAUUCAGUCUCUCCCAUUCUUAUACUGUCUCCCUCCUCUCCAGUGUGGUGAAGCACAUUGUGGCUGUGCUGUAGACCUACACGUAGGCUGUCCCUAUAUCUGGACUUGGAUGGGUUAGGAUAAGUAAUGCUACUCUAACUCAAAGCAGGUUCCUCAUGGGCUUUGUCAGCAUGAGAGAAGCCAUUGUGAUCUCUGUGUCUGUGUCUUUCUCUUGGUUAGUUCUGAUCUUGAAGGAGGAAGGGGUUGAUCAUUGUUGAGUCUCUCAAACCCCUACCGUUUUUAUUCAUCUUAUAAAUUUGCUUUAGUCCUUUGUUAUUUAUGAGUUAUAUGCAAAGGAUUUAAUUUCUUUUUAUGUGAAUAAAUGUAAGUAAGAUUAUAAUGGAAAUAAUGUAAGCCAGCAGAGACUCCUUGUGCAUGCUUUCCUGUAAUCCAUACACAAGGGAUAAUCAAUCUAUAUGAUGAACAUUUAAAUUAAAAAUAUUAUUACAGUAAAAGCCAGAAUGCCAUUAAUCGUCUCAAAAAUCUUCCCCUUCACUUCAGAGACAUUUAUCCCAUCAUUCUUGAUACUUUCCAAAGCAGUUCUGGAAGUCCUCUUUUGUAAAUACCUUACAAGGUGUGAUUAAAAAUACAGUGAAUGCUGCUGCCAAGCACCAUCCAAUGGAAAGACAAGCUGUAAACAUGUGACGCUGUGUCCUCACCCACCUUAUUCUCUGGAUCUAGUGUGGUGUGACUUCCAGCUCUUCCCCUGAGUCAAAAUAAUCAUGAAAGGCCAACAUUUUGAAUCAAUUCAGGACACUGAGGUAUCUAUAGACAUUCAUGAAAGAAGACCCCCAAACUGCUUCAGAAAGUGGCAAGAAUGCUGGGAUGAGUGGGUUUGAAACAAGAGGGAGGAUUUUGAGGGUGAUUAAUGGCAAUGUAUAUUUUAUUGUAAUUUAAAAAAAUGUAAACAUUUAUUGUAGUCUUUGAUCACAUCACAUAUCACUUAAAUUAGAGAAAAUAUGAGAUAGAGAACUGUCACCAGUAUGUCCAAUACAAAAUAAAGUCAAAAGCAGUUUCCCUAGAAAUAUUCAAAAAAUAAAGACAAUUAAAAACAUAUUUUUAGACUAAUAUAGUAAUGAUGAGUAGUUUUGGAAUUUUCUGCAUUUUAAUAAAGCCAGUAGGGUGGCAAAAACCUAGAGACAAUAUCUAUAACACAGUUAGCUGACAAGAGAUGAAUUACACAAUAUGACCAGGUCAGGGUAAACCACAAAGAGCAAUAAUACCCAGCAUUAGAGAAACUUCUCGAUGUGACUCCUUGUUUUCCUGGAAGUACAGCAGAGGUGCAUGGUAGGCCCCAGACAGGAAUAUGAUCCCCCACUCUGCUCUGUGGGGAGAAUCCCUGUGGAAGGGAUGGCUUCCUUAAUGAAUGCCUGAAAAAUUAAAAUGGGAUAGAUUAAAAGGACUUCAGACAUAUAGUGACAUACUGAUUAGCUGCAAUGUAUGAUCAUACAAGGGUCUUGAUUCAAACAAACUAUGAAAAUUAUAAAAAAACUUAGCAAAAUAGGAAUACAACUGAGUGUAUAAGAAUUAUUCAGUUUUUAGGUAUGAUAAUGCUAUUGUGGUUAUUUAAAAAAUUUCUAACUUUUUGAGAUUCAUAAUAAAAUAUUUUCAUGUGAAAUAAUAUGCUAUCUCUAGGGAAGACGAGAAAAUGAGGUAUACGUGAAUAAAAUUGACCCUGAGUAUUUUUGAAGGGGAAUGAUUGUGAGACAUUAUAGUAUUCUGUCUUACUGUGGAAUGUUUGAAAUUUUCUAGAAUAAAAUUUUAUUUAUUUAUUUAUUUAUUUAUUUAUUUAUUAUUUAUUUAUUUUGGAACCGGGGAUUGAACUUGGGUCCUUCUGCUUGGGAGGCAGGUGGUGGAACCACUGAGCUAAACCCCUGGCCCUAAAAUAAAAUUUUAAAAGAUCCAUUGAGUACAUAAAAGAAUAUUUAAAUAAAGCUAUAAGGACCAGGGAAUAGAUUAGUAGAUUUUAAAGGAAUUGUUUCCAUAGUACUAAGCAAAAGAAUGCCAAAAGCUAUUUUAAAAUCCUGAGUAUCUAGUAUAAAUCAUUCCAAUUCUGCUCAAAGACUAGGAAUCCUUAGCAAUCUACAAUAACGGGUAAAUGAAAAGCCAUUUCUUUUUAACUUUGGAAUAUAUUUUUGUUCUUGUAGUUAAAAAGUUCUGGCUGAUAGAUUGAUGAUUCCCUCGGCUAUUUAUUAAACCAGAGCUUUCUAACUUGUGUGCUGAGAUUGAUUGAUUUUUUCACCCUUGGGGCAGCGGGGGGCCUCUGAAUGCCUGGGCUGGGACUUCCAGUCUCUAGCUGUUUGCAGCCUCGUCUUUCUGCGCUAGUGGACUGUAUCGAUACUGUCUACUGUCGUUUUCAUACGUGCCACACCCAAACAGGGAGACAGAUCUUUUGCAAAGGGGAGGAGACCAAGGAAUAGG